UACCUGGUUGAUCCUGCCAGUAAUCAUAUGCUUGUCUCAAAGAUUAAGCUAUGCAUGUCUAAGUACAUGCCGAAAUAAGGCGAAACCGCGAAUGGCUCAUUAAAUCAGUUAUGGUUCCUUAGAUCGUUUCUUCCUACUUGGAUAACUGUGGCAAUUCUAGAGCUAAUACAUGCAGUGAGCCUGAAGCCCUUUGGGCGACGGGUGCUUUUAUUAGACCAAGAUCGAUCGGGUUUCGGCCCGUAUUGUGUGGUGACUCUGGAUAACUUUGUGCUGAUCGCAUGGCCACGAGCCGGCGACGUUUCUUUCAAGUGUCUGCCUUAUCAACUUUCGAUGGUAGGUUACUUGCUUACCAUGGUUGUUACGGGUAACGGAGAAUCAGGGUUCGAUUCCGGAGAGGGAGCCUGAGAAACGGCUACCACAUCCAAGGACGGCAGCAGGCGCGCAAAUUACCCACUCCCGGCACGGGGAGGUAGUGACGAAAAAUAACAAUACGGGACUCUUUUGAGGCCCCGUAAUUGAAAUGAGUACACUCUAAAUCCUUUAACGAGGAUCAAUUGGAGGGCAAGUCUGGUGCCAGCAGCCGCGGUAAUUCCAGCUCCAAUAGCGUAUACUAAAGCUGCUGCGGUUAAAAAGCUCGUAGUUGGAUCUCAGUUCCAGACGAGUAGUGCAUCUACCUGAUGCGACGGCUCGGACUGAACAUCAUGCCGGUCCUUUCUUGGUGCACUUCAUUGUGUGCCUCGAGAAGGCCGGUGCUUUUACUUUGAAAAAAUUAGAGUGCUCAACGCAGGCGAGUCGCCUGAAUAAACUUGCAUGGAAUAAUAGAACAAGACCUCGUUUCUGUUCUGUUGGUUUUUGGAAUACGAGGUAAUGAUUAAGAGGGACAGACGGGGGCAUUCGUAUUGCGGCGCUAGAGGUGAAAUUCUUGGACCGUCGCAAGACGAACUACUGCGAAAGCAUUUGCCAAGAAUGUUUUCUUUGAUCAAGAACGAAAGUCAGAGGUUCGAAGGCGAUCAGAUACCGCCCUAGUUCUGACCAUAAACGAUGCCAACCAGCGAUCCGCCUGAGUUACUCAAAUGACUCGGCGGGCAGCUUCCGGGAAACCAAAGUGUUUGGGUUCCGGGGGAAGUAUGGUUGCAAAGCUGAAACUUAAAGGAAUUGACGGAAGGGCACCACCAGGAGUGGAGCCUGCGGCUUAAUUUGACUCAACACGGGAAAACUUACCCGGCCCGGACACUGGGAGGAUUGACAGAUUGAGAGCUCUUUCUUGAUUCGGUGGAUGGUGGUGCAUGGCCGUUCUUAGUUGGUGGAGCGAUUUGUCUGGUUAAUUCCGAUAACGAACGAGACUCUAGCCUAUUAAAUAGGUGCGGGGUUCCCAGCACCUUGCAACCUUCUUAGACGGACAAGCGGCUCCUAGCCGCACGAAACAGAGCAAUAACAGGUCUGUGAUGCCCUUAGAUGUCCGCGGCCGCACGCGCGCUACACUGAAGGAAGCAGCGUGUCUUUAUCCCUGUCUGAAAAGACUGGGUAACCCGUGGAACUUCUUUCGUGAUUGGGAUAGGGGCUUGCAAUUGUUCCCCUUGAACGAGGAAUUCCCAGUAAGCGCGAGUCAUAAGCUCGCGUUGAUUACGUCCCUGCCCUUUGUACACACCGCCCGUCGCUACUACCGAUUGAAUGAUUUAGUGAGGUCUUCGGACCGAUGUCCGGCGCGGCCUUUCGGUUGCGCCGGUCUGUUGGAAAGAUGACCAAACUUGAUCAUUUAGAGGAAGUAAAAGUCGUAACAAGGUUUCCGUAGGUGAACCUGCGGAAGGAUCAUUA
rnacentral:rRNA from 1 species